GAUGAACGCUGGCGGCGUGCCUAAUACAUGCAAGUCGAGCGAACGGACGAGAAGCUUGCUUUUCUGAUGUUAGCGGCGGACGGGUGAGUAACACGUGGAUAACCUACCUAUAAGACUGGGAUAACUUCGGGAAACCGGAGCUAAUACCGGAUAAUCUUUUGAACCGCAUGGUUCAAAAGUGAAAGACGGUCUUGCUGUCACUUAUAGAUGGAUCCGCGCUGCAUUAGCUAGUUGGUAAGGUAACGGCUUACAAAGGCAACGAUGCAUAGCCGACCUGAGAGGGUGAUCGGCCACACUGGAACUGAGACACGGUCCAGACUCCUACGGGAGGCAGCAGUAGGGAAUCUUCCGCAAUGGUCGAAAGCCUUACAGAGCAACGCCGCGUGAGUGAUGAAGGUCUUCGGAUCGUAAAACUCUGUUAUUAGGGAAGAACAUAUGUGUAAGUAACUGUGCACAUCUUGACGGUACCUAAUCAGAAAGCCACGGCUAACUACGUG
rnacentral:rRNA from 1 species